rnacentral:rRNA from 1 species
GACGAACGCUGGCGGCGUGCUUAACACAUGCAAGUCGAACGGAAAGGCCCUGCUUUUGUGGGGUGCUCGAGUGGCGAACGGGUGAGUAACACGUGAGUAACCUGCCCUUGACUUUGGGAUAACUUCAGGAAACUGGGGCUAAUACCGGAUAGGAGCUCCUGCUGCAUGGUGGGGGUUCGAAAGUUUCGGCGGUUGGGGAUGGACUCGCGGCUUAUCAGCUUGUUGGUGGGGUAGUGGCUUACCAAGGCUUUGACGGGUAGCCGGCCUGAGAGGGUGACCGGCCACAUUGGGACUGAGAUACGGCCCAGACUCCUACGGGAGGCAGCAGUGGGGAAUACUGCACAAUGGGCGGAAGCCUGAUGCAGCAACGCCGCGUGCGGGAUGACGGCCUUCGGGUUGUAAACCGCUUUCGCCUGUGACGAAGCGUGAGUGACGGUAAUGGGUAAAGAAGCACCGGCUAACUACGUG